GACGAACGCUGGCGGCGUGCUUAACACAUGCAAGUCGAACGGAAAGGCCCUGCUUUUGUGGGGUGCUCGAGUGGCGAACGGGUGAGUAACACGUGAGUAACCUGCCCUUGACUUUGGGAUAACUUCAGGAAACUGGGGCUAAUACCGGAUAGGAGCUCCUGCUGAAUGGUGGGGGUUGGAAAGUUUCGGCGGUUGGGGAUGGACUCGCGGCUUAUCAGCUUGUUGGUGGGGUAGUGGCUUACCAAGGCUUUGACGGGUAGCCGGCCUGAGAGGGUGACCGGCCACAUUGGGACUGAGAUACGGCCCAGACUCCUACGGGAGGCAGCAGUGGGGAAUAUUGCACAAUGGGCGGAAGCCUGAUGCAGCAACGCCGCGUGCGGGAUGACGGCCUUCGGGUUGUAAACCGCUUUCGCCGGUGACGAAGCGUGAGUGACGGUAAUGGGUAAAGAAGCACCGGCUAACUACGUG
rnacentral:rRNA from 1 species